AGGUGACCAGAAAAUCGAUGGUGAUCAUCAUCUCGUUGUUUAAUUUUAGCGUGGUUUCUCACAAAUCAGUUUGUGGGAAGGAAAGCCUUAUAAAACCUUAUAAAUAUUUAUCUAUGAUAUUUCUGGGAAGUUUCUCAAAAAGAUAGUUUGACUUUGUUCUUGUCUACCUAUUUGCUUGUUUAAAUAACUCGGAAGAUUUUGUUUUCACUAAGUAGUUGAUCAUCGUCUAUGACACAUGAUGAUAACCAAUUUUGCUCCUCGUCAUAUUGGUUGUUUUUCAGAGUUCUGGCUUGAACUCAAAGUGUUUCUUUACAAUGAUUUUCUUUUUGUUUGACUCUGUUUUUCCGUAGUAACGUUUUCAGCGUUGAUUCCUCUGAGUGAGUUCUCUGAAGCUUCCGUGAUGAAGAAGUAUGGUUUGAAGCCAGAUGCUGAAACCCUUGACAUUGCCAACACCACCGCUAGGCAAAAAUCGAUUACAGACUUACAGUAGUGAUGAAGAUAUAUUGGGGAGAUCCUCGUGAGAAGAUAUGUGAAGCUGUUGAUCAUAUCCCUCUCUCAAGCCUUGGUGGCCUUGAGAGGAUGAUAAUGGGAAGUGUUAGCAACCAUGUUGUCAACAACGUUGCAUGCCCUGUCACCGUCGUGAAGUCUCACCACUGAGCUUUGCCUUCAUCUUCUUCACAUCAUCUGCUCCGAUAACCUUAAUCAGAAUGACCUGUGGUGUAUUGUGUUUGUUGGUUGUGUCUGAAUUUGUAAUUUUCAAACUCUGGUGUGAUUUGUCAAGCGGAAGGACCGAGAAAAUACAAGUAACCAACAAACACAUACGCAUUAAGGAAGAAACUGACUCCAAUGAUUCAGAGUUUUGGAUGCUUAAGUCAAGUUCUGGUUCAGAGUUAGAGUCAUAGCAGGAGAGUGAUGAAGAAAACUGCAAAGGUUCUCAUUGUGAUGCCAAAGAAUAUGAGGAGCUCUCAGAAAGAACAAAGAGGAUGUCAAUAGAGAUUGGACCAAGUAUGAUCAUUACGGCAGCGCCACUAUGAUCCUGAGGCUCAAGGCUACUAUUCAGUCUUUGGAAGGGCGGAUGAGUUCUGUUACUGAGAAAAGUGCUAAGUAUGCUCAGAUUGCUGCUGAGGAAGUGCCCAAGAGUCUUUACUGCCUUGGUGUUCGUCUCACUACUGAGUGAUUUUAGAACUCUGAGUUACAGGGGAAGCUUAAGCUCUUUGUCCACUCUUAUGAUCAGUGGAGAGCUUAAGAUGUAUUCUCACCUCAAGCAGUUUACUUUCCUUGAUCUCAAGUUGGCUACUAGAAAUUUCAGACCCGAAAGUCUUCUCGGAGAAAGUGGCUUUGGUUGCGUCUUUAAAGGAUGGAUGGAGGAGAACGAAACUGCUCCUGUUAAGCCUGGCACUGGCCUUACUGUCGCUGUCAAAACCUUGAAUCUCGAUGGUCUUCAGGGUCAUAAAGAGUGGCUUGUAUGAUCCUUAAAAACACUUCUAAAUUGAUUUAUAAACUCUUAUAAAUUGUGUAAUGAAGAUUAUUAAAUUUUUACAAUCUUUUGAAUAAACCCUUAUAAAUAGAUUUAUAUUUCAUAUAUAUUUGAUCAACUCUUAUAAAUAUGUCAUAAACCCAUCGACACAAACAAAAACGUUCUUAUAAACCCUUAUAAGAUGAUAUAAAUCAUUGCAAAAUGAUUUAUGAAUCCUAUAAUUACACAUAUAAUAAUGAUGCUUUUGGUUAGAAAAUGAUUUUGUAAAUAAUUAUAAAUAAUUUUCAAAAAUUUAUAGGAAAAUUAUAAACAUUAUAAAUACUUUCAUAAAGAUUUACUUAUAAUCUUUGUAAGAAUUUAUAAAUGAUCUAUAAACUCUUCUAACUGAUUUAUAAAUUGAUUUAUAAACUCUUAUAAAUUGUGUUAUCAAGAUUAUUAAAUUAUUAUAAUCUUUGGAAUAAGCCCUUAUAAAUAGAUUUAUAAACUCUUAUAAAUAGAUUUCUAAAACUUGUAAAUUAAUUUAUAAACACUUAUAAAUAAAUGUAUAAACUCUUAUAAAUAGCUUAUAAGUUCUUGUAAAUAGUUUUAUAAACCCUUUUAAAUAGUUUUAUAAACCUUUAUAAAUAGUUAUAUAAAUAUAUAUAUAUAUGUGUUUUAUAAGCUUUAUAGAUGGUUGAUACAAGGUUUUAUAAGCUCUUAUAAAAUUUAUAAAUGGUUCAUAAAUGAUUAUUCCCUUUAAUUCCAUAUUCCUCAUUUAGACCCAUAAUUUAUAUAUAUAUUCUUAUAGAUGUUUUAUUAACUCUUAUAAGCAAGUUUAUAAUUUUGCAAAAAAAUUUCACAAACCCUUAUAAAUGAUUUAUAAGCCUUUAUAAAAUGUUUUAAGAGCCUUCAUAUAUGAAUUACCUUUUGAAAUUCUUCAAAUCCUUGUAACUGAAUUUAUAAACGCUUAUAAAUAAUUUUAAAUAUUCUUUUUUUCUUUCAAUAAUUUUAAAUAUUCUUAUAAAUUAUUUAUAGACCCUUAUAAUUUUUUUUUAUAUAUUCUCAUAAAUGAAUUAUAACCCCUUAAAACUAGUUAAUAAUUUAGACAAAAGUUUUCUACAAAUCCUUAUAAAUAUUUUUAUAUAUUCUUAUAACUGAUUUAUAAACCUUUAUAAAUAGUUUAUAUAUAUAUAUAUAUUCUUAGAAAUGAUUUAUAAACCCUUAUAAAUAUUUUAUAAGUAUUUAUAAGGAUUUAUUAAUCUUCAUAAAUGAUUUACAAACAUUUAUAAAUUAUUUAUAUAAUCCUUAUAAAGCCUUGUAGAAAACUAAGUUCAAGUUUUUUUAUACAUAUCCUUAUAGACUGUUUUUAUAAACUCUUAUAAAUGAAUUAUACUUUAUUUCAGAGAAAACUAAACAACAAACUGAACCAGACAACAACUGUUGAAGGUUGCUACAAAGUCUUGGAGGGUCCAAUGUUUUCACGCUUAGCCACCAUGUCAUACCUAGCAAUGGGGCACACAUAGAUACCAACCGAUGAAAGAUUAUUCUUACUGUAAGACCCGAAGAAACCACCAAACUCGCGUCUAUCACGUAUUCAUGGAUCAAUAUCUAUCUUGAAACCAAUCGCAGAGUUAUCAUUCACACUUCAGUCGGUCUGUGCUCCCCACAGUUAGUGUGAAAUGUCAAACUUUUUAUUCCAUCACGCAUUCCAUAUCCAUGUACUCCACUCAGUCCAGUCACAUA